UAUCUUUGAUGGAGUUAUUUUCUUGUUCCAGUUCCAGGGUAGGUCUUUAUUCUGAAGCAAAUAGGAAUAUAUAGAUCUUCUGCAUUAGGUACGGUGUCUACUGGAUUUCUUUUGAGUCGAUUUUUGCCCUUUGUUACUCGACUAGAAAUGAGGUUCAUCACAAGAGGCACGAUUGCUGGUUCAUGAUUGGUAAUGGCAGUUAAUUUUUGUGCUUCAUUUCUGAUUAUUGAGGAAGGAGAUGAGGUAGGUGGGGGACAUUGAAAUAACUUGGUUCCAAAUGCAAUAAUCUUCUAGUAAUAUUGAUGUGCGGAUUCUAGCUGCCUUUUUGAUUGAGUUGUCAAUAAUCACUGGUUGU
rnacentral:lncRNA from 1 species